rnacentral:lncRNA from 1 species
UUGCUGUGGAUCUCAGGCUUGAUCUCCAGGACGCUGUUUAUUUUGUAUACUGUGACAUCAGAUCACACACUUUAUUGAAUGCAUAAUGUGAAGUUGCUCCUGAACGUGCUCUCGGGGAGUCUCUCGGGAAGGGAGUACAGCUAUGACACAGUCAAGUGUCCUGGUCACGGAUGAGAAUGCUUAUCAGAGGAUUGAGUGGGUGAAUGAAAAGAUGAAUUUGAAUUCAUAGAAGAAAUCCCUUGACCAAAGAAGCUACAUCAAAUUAUAUGAAUGGAUGUUUUCGUAGGAUCAUGUGUGGCAUGAGGGAUUUUCCCAGAUGUCGUGUUCUGGCUUGUAUUCCCUCUUUUCACUGGCUUGUGUUAGGCUGGCAAAAAUGGAGAAGAAAGCAGAGAGAAGAAGCCAGAUGGGGAAACAAGGUUGGAGAAAUAAAUAACUUCCAUGUGACCAUUGAAGACACAGAGCUCUUUGCCAAGAAGGAGGUGGGAGUUUUUUUCUGAUUCUCCCAAAAAAGACAUAAAACUGGAAGCAAAACACAAAGAAGACAUGACUUGGCUGGGAGUCUACACAGACUCGAAACAAGGUACAAUUGAACUGCUACUUUGCUAGUGAAAUUAAGCACUGCCAAACGUCUACCGGGAGAUUUCAGAAAUAGGAUUCUCUGCCUCAGUUCUCCAUUGAAUUUCCUAGCAGGGGUAAAACCUUUGUCAAUCUUUAUCCUGAAUUCUAAGUUGGGUCCUAAAGCAACAGCACAGGGGAAUAUAAAGGAAGACAUUUAACUAUAGAGAAAGCCAAGAGGCUUACGCCUUGAGGCUAUAAGACAAAACAAAACGAAGCAAACAUAUAAAUAAACCAGAGGAAUUCCCCA